GACAGAGGGUGCAAACGUUGUUCGGAAUUACUGGGCGUAAAGCGCGUGUAGGCGGAUGAGCAAGUCUGCUGUGAAAGCUCCUGGCUUAACCGGGAGUGGUCGGUGGAAACUGCUCGUCUGGAGGACGGUAGAGGUAGGUAGAAUUCCCGGUGUAGUGGUGAAAUGCGUAGAGAUCGGGAGGAAUACCUGUGGCGAAGGCGGCCUACUGGGCCGGACCUGACGCUGAGACGCGAAGGCGUGGGGAGCGAACGGG
rnacentral:rRNA from 1 species